rnacentral:rRNA from 1 species
UACAGAGGGUGCGAGCGUUGUCCGGAAUCACUGGGCGUAAAGGGCGCGUAGGCGGCUUGAUAAGUAGGGGGUGAAAUCUUGCGGCUCAACUGCAAGGCUGCCUCCUAAACUGACAGGCUUGAGCACAGUAGAGGCAGGUGGAAUUCCCGGUGUAGCGGUGGAAUGCGUAGAGAUCGGGAAGAACAUCGGUGGCGAAGGCGGCUCUCUGGGACGGUACUGACGGCUGAGACGCGAAAGCGUGGGGAGCGAACAGG